rnacentral:lncRNA from 1 species
AUUUUUACCAUACUGCAGUGACUCAAAACUGUGGUUGUACCCUCCCAUCCAAUAGCACAGGAACGUAGUCGAGAAAUAAAGUUCACCGCCAGUAGCUUGUUUUGUGAAUAUAUAAUUCUGAAGAAAACAAGCCAGUAUCUUAACAGGCUCCUUCUUCCCCAGCCCCGAUUUAAUUAUGCAGACCAUCCAGGACGACAGCUACCUGAGGCACAGGCCUGCCCUGAAAGAAGGUGGCAUUCACCUCAAUGAGGCCAUAAAUCUCGGAGAGCUUCGUGAGGAGUAACUACUGAGAGAAAAGAUAAGAGUUUCCAUGGGGCAGCUGGAGAAGUGCUUACAUGUGGGGGAGCUAAUCCCGGAGCCCGGAGAGGAGGAGGUACCAGCGCAGCAGCCGUUUUCGCAGAGGUUUGGGGGAAGAUGGGACUGUCCUGGCUGUGGUGGAAGAUGGCUGGGUUGGGGAGUAAGACCAGGUAUGCCAACAGAUGCUGUGAUUUGGGACUUGGGGUCGCUUACUCUUUCCGAGCCUUCACUUCCUCACCUGUUGGCCAGGAACCCUGAUGAUGUCCCAGGUCCUGCUAGGCUUGACAUAGAGGCAUCCGUUUGCUGGUGAGGUAGAGGGUGCUGGAAGGUGAGAGUGUAAAGUGCUAUCUGUCAGAGAGUUCAAAGACGAGGCAGAGGAAAAAUGUCAUGAAGAGAAGUUGGAGGUUAGAAAACAGUUUCCUGAAACAAACCCACCCACUGUUACAACCCACCCAGCCACUAGCUCACUCACUCUGCUUCCCAGGCAGGGGUUUUACACUAUUUCUGUCAUGGGAUACAAGGCAGAGCUCUUCUCUAUUCUAAGAGAAGUUUUAUAUUUCUUUGGUUUGGGUUUUGUUGGCAGUUUCUUCUUUCUGAUGAUUUGUUUUGAAUCUAAAAGGGAAGGCAAAUGCUUUGGGCUGCAUAUUUACUGGUUACAUUUCUCGUUUGUUGGAAUGUAUAAUGUCAAGUCUCUCACCCUGAGCAGUUCCUAGUAGGAAAGCGAUCUGUACAACGGAGGCCUCCGCUACCAUGUAUGGGUGGGUGUGUAAGUCUAAUGCACUUAAAAUACACUAAACGUAGGGUACAGAGUACUGUGGAUAGGCCCCCAGAGCUGGGUACAGGACCACGGGCCUGCCCCUCUACCCAAGGGAAUGGCCAGGUCUCAUUUUUCUCAGUAGCAGCCCCUUGAUUAAAGCUGGCAGGCUUUUACAAGCUCCCCAUGCCAUGUAGGGAUGACAUCCUUCCUCCCAGUCUCGGCAUUAUUCUGGCAGCCAGGUGAGCUUGUGUGCAUGGCUGCUGGGAAGGACUUUGUUCCCCUGUCUGAGCCUGGCUACCCGCCCCCCCCAAGCCCAGCAGGGAUGUGUAACAGCGAGCAGCAGGCCUGGGGGACUUGUGAGCUGUUGCCAUGGUCACUCCCCAGCGCAUCCAAGGACAAGUCCCCACAUCCGCUGCGAGACUUCAUUAGAGACAGAGCACCACGUGACCACAAGCCUCAAAUCACUUCGUAAGGACUGUGGCCCGGCCUUGUCCCAUCCUGUCGUUUGGCCCCAUAAGCAGAGCGGAGCUGACCUGUGGCCAAGAGACCAACGUAUUCUUCACACUGAAAUAAAUGCACUGACACCCCAAACGCCA